AACGAACGCUGGCGGCAGGCCUAACACAUGCAAGUCGAGCGACCCGCAAGGGUAGCGGCGGACGGGUGAGUAACGCGUGGGAACGUACCUUUUGCUACGGAAUAGCCCCGGGAAACUGGGAGUAAUACCGUAUACGCCCUGAGGGGGAAAGAUUUAUCGGCAAAAGAUCGGCCCGCGUUGGAUUAGGUAGUUGGUGGGGUAACGGCCUACCAAGCCGACGAUCCAUAGCUGGUUUGAGAGGAUGAUCAGCCACACUGGGACUGAGACACGGCCCAGACUCCUACGGGAGGCAGCAGUGGGGAAUCUUAGACAAUGGGGGAAACCCUGAUCUAGCCAUGCCGCGUGAGUGAUGAAGGCCUUAGGGUUGUAAAGCUCUUUCAGUGGGGAAGAUAAUGACGGUACCCACAGAAGAAGCCCCGGCUAACUCCGUG
rnacentral:rRNA from 1 species